rnacentral:lncRNA from 1 species
GGUCUGGAAGUCUCAACAUAUGAUGAUGGACUUUAUCUCUCAUGAGUCAAGUAUGCUUCUGAGCUCGAGCAGGGUUGAUCGAUAACAAAAUAGUUGAUACUUCUAUUGAGACUAAUGUCAAACUCUUUGCUACGCAUGAGAAGUUACAGACUAAUCCCACUCUUUGUUGAUAAUUGGUUGGUAGUUUGUUAAUGGACCAGAUAUUUCUUAUGCAAUACCUCAGGUAAGUCGGUUUUUGUCUACACCCUGCUCCACACUUAUGCAGUGAUGAUCCGUAUCCUAUAGUAUAUAAAGGGGACAAUAUUUUAUGGCUUACAUUUCUUAUCUUAG